CAAUUACUCCCUCCGUUCCAAAAUAGAUGACUCAACUUUGUACUAACUUAGUAUAAAAUUGAGUCAUCUAUUUUGGAACGGAGGGAGUAUAUC
rnacentral:pre_miRNA from 1 species